UCAGGAUGAACGCUGGCGGCGUGCCUAAUACAUGCAAGUCGAACGAAUCUCUUUUAGAGAUGAGUGGCGAACGGGUGAGUAAUACAUAGGUAACCUGCCCCUGUGCGGGGGAUAACAGGAGGAAACUCCUGCUAAUACCGCAUAGCCAUGAGCACCGCAUGGAGCUCAUGCCAAAUAUCCUUUCGGGGAUAGCGCAGGGAUGGACCUAUGGCGCAUUAGCUGGUUGGCGGGGCAACGGCCCACCAAGGCAACGAUGCGUAGCCGGCCUGAGAGGGCGGACGGCCACAUUGGGACUGAGACACGGCCCAGACUCCUACGGGAGGCAGCAGUAGGGAAUUUUCGGCAAUGGGGGAAACCCUGACCGAGCAACGCCGCGUGAGCGAAGAAGGCCUUCGGGUCGUAAAGCUCUGUUGUAAAGGAAGAACGGCGCAUACAGGAAAUGGUAUGCGAGUGACGGUACUUUACCAGAAAGCCACGGCUAACUACGUGCCAGCAGCCGCGGUAAUACGUAGGUGGCGAGCGUUAUCCGGAAUCAUUGGGCGUAAAGAGGGAGCAGGCGGCCGCAAGGGUCUGUGGUGAAAGACCGAAGCUAAACUUCGGUAAGCCAUGGAAACCGGGCGGCUAGAGUGCGGAAGAGGAUCGUGGAAUUCCAUGUGUAGCGGUGAAAUGCGUAGAUAUAUGGAGGAACACCAGUGGCGAAGGCGACGGUCUGGGCCGCAACUGACGCUCAUUCCCGAAAGCGUGGGGAGCAAAUAGGAUUAGAUACCCUAGUAGUCCACGCCGUAAACGAUGGUCACUAAGUGUCGGGGGUCAAACCCCGGUGCUGCAGUCAACGCAAUAAGUGACCCGCCUGAGUAGUACGUUCGCAAGAAUGAAACUCAAAGGAAUUGACGGAAG
rnacentral:rRNA from 1 species